ensembl:miRNA
CCCUCCGCCUUCUCUUCCCGGUUCUUCCCGGAGUCGGGAAAAGCUGGGUUGAGAGGGCG